rnacentral:lncRNA from 1 species
CUACAAAGGUAGUUUUUCAUUUGAAAGAUUUAUGCGUUUUUAAGUAUCUGUUGUCUUUUCUGCCUCUUUCGCCAAUUGGACCUCUCCAGUUUUUCCUUCAUAUGUUUGUAAUGACAUACUUUUGAUGGUAGUUCUAUAUUGGAUAUUUCAGUGUCUAUAUUUCUUUCCUACUUACGUCAAGAUGCUCCCAAAAUAGUUCAUAUAUACUCUUUCUACUUUCCCUUUACAUAUUAUUUUCGUGUCAUAUUUACGGUUAUUAUUUUAGUUUUACUAAUGUGUAUUUUCAUUUGAAUUAUUUAUUCCAUAAUUAAAGAUCCAUCAGAGGCGAGAGUUAUAUUAGAAGGCGACACAUAGAGCAAAGAAAGCAAAAGAAUUUAAUCAUAUUACCAUAUACCAAAAUACCGAAGGAGCAGUUGGGCCAGAUGAUAUCCCUGGGGAAGUCUAGAUAGCUUUAGAAGUGACAGGAACAAGUUGGCCAACAAGUUUGUUCAAUAGAUUUAUAGAAGUGGCACAAAUGCUAGACGAAUUGAGAAGCAUUAUAUUGCACAAACAACAGCACCAUAAAAUUACUUAGUCACACUAUGAAAAUAUGGGAGAGAAUAGUAGUUCAUAGACGUUAAGAAACAGUAAUAUCUGAAAAUCAGUUUGGAUUUAUGUAACGAAAAUAAGUUUAAAAAAAUACAGGAAUAAAGAAACAAGCACUCUACUAUUCAUUAUUCUUAAGAAAACGUAUGAGUAGCUCGAGAGGUUCUGUGGUGGGCGCUCAAUAAGAAAGGAGUUCCCUUCGAAUAUGUGCCGAUUGUAAGAGACAUGCAUGAGGGAAUAACAAUUAGUGUUAGGACAGGUGUGGGGGAGAAAAUUGAAUAGUUUUAGGUACCUAACAUCGGAAUUACAGUGUAAUGGAGAAAUAGAUAGAUAUGCAUGUAGUAGAGUUAUUGAUGAAGUGGACGGAAGCGAGUGGUGUGUUGUGUGACAAAAAGAUUCCAAUGAAACUGAAAGGAAAAUUCUGUAAAACUGCCAUAAGACCAGUUAUGAUGUACGGAACUGAAUGUUGGACAAUUAAAGAGAAAGAAGAACGCGAACACAUCUGGCGUUAAUGAGAAUGCUUAGAUGGAUGAGUAUAGUGAAAAAGAGAUAAAAUUAAAAGUGAUUAAGUGAUUAUAUUAGAGGAAGUUUAAGUCUAACGCUAAUCAUCUAAUACGAAGAAUAAUUGCAUAUUUGCAAGUUGCUGGAAGGUGUAGGAGAGGAAGACCAGGAGGGAGACACGUAUACAGUACAUGUCGGUAAAAUGGAUCGAUAUUGGUAUGAUCCAAGAUGAAAGCUUAUUGAGAAAUGUGAUUAGAGAAGUAGACCCCACAUAGGGAUAAACGCAAAGAAUUUUGUGUUUCGCAGUUUGUGCAUUUUCCUGCGAUUAGUAGGACGUGAUAUGCGUAAAGGUUCGGUCCUGGCAAGAAGCUAACAAACACGGUGUGAUAGCAGCUCAUGACAAAAGAUAGGUUUUAAUAAUAAAAUUAAAAAUGUAAAACUUGGAAACAUUUUAAUAGUGUAAACAUAAGUGCAGUGCAUCAGUGGACGAAAAGGCAUCAAAAACUGUAAGUUAUUUGCAUGCCUAUUUUACUAUAAAUUACUAAAAUUUAAAACUAGACAAAGCUUGGCCACAGUUUUUUUGCUUAUACGAAUCAGUUAGUUCACUCUAGUUUUUAUGCGGUUCCUGCGCUUGCAGAAACUCCUAGCAGACUGCGCAGUAGACUAGGAGGAAAAUGUUGCUGUUGCAAGAUUUAAAAUAUUCCGAUAAAGAAUAUUCCAAAAUUAUAAUAAAAUAAUUAUGAUUAUCGAUUUUUUUCAAAAAGCUAAAAACUAAAUUCAUAAAUGGUAAAAUCCUUUACGUACACACUUGUAUAAAAUUUGAAAAAUAAUAUUUUCUAAUUAUUGAUUGAAUGUAUUCAAACAAUUAAUCACAAGUAACUAUCUAAAUUGGUUACAUUUGGCAACAGUGAGUAGAUCUGGUUUAUUUAUGUAUGUUUAUUCCAAACAUAACCUUAUAAACAAACAGUUGUUUAUUUAGAGUUAUUUAUUAUUGUUUUCUCAUAUUUUGCAAUUGUUAAGUUGGUUUACUUCGAAUUUAAUGUGCAUUACUGUGGUAUUUCUCCAGUUUUCUAAGAAGGUUGGUGAUUUUGAAUUGGGAUUAUGAUGAAUUUAACCCAAAGGCAAUGUGUGUUUAUUUAUGUGGCAAAAUUCCAGGCACCAUAAAAAUUUGAGUUUCUUCCUGUUGCCCAUGGAUGAAAAUCGGUUUGCAGAAUGAAAAGAAAUUGUUCAAUGUGAUAAACUUUCUAUGAACAGUCCUCAAUAUUGUUACAUUAACUUUUAAAUAUGCACUUUACAUCUUGAGGAGCAGGCCUUUGCAGAAAUACUGAAAAGCGGGUUGCAAAACAACGCAAAAUAAAAUAAACGAAAUAUGUCUUGAGAUUAAACGUUCAAGUUGAAGGUGUGUUCUUUCUUAAACUGGAAUGAUAAUUUUGUAAUUCUGUAGGCACAUCUAUUGAGAAGUUACAACCAGUGGCAAAGUGCCUUAAGGGAAUCUAUGAUAUAUAUAAUUGAAGGGACAUCUCUGAAGGAAUUACAAUUAUUUGCCAGUAUGUCAAAUGAAUUUUCAACAUCAGUCAUACUUUCAUGAACUUAUUGAUGAAAAUAAAACUAGGUACAUGAUUUAUUAUUUACUUCCAAGGGAUUCUAAGAUACUAUGUGUAAAAAGUCCAAUAUGCAGUGAUGAGCAUGCUAAUAAAUGGAAAAAUAUGGGAUAUAACGCCAAAGAUGGGAAACAUGGGAUUCAUUCUGAAGUAAAAAGAGAUGAAACUGAGAGAAAUUAUCGAUAUAAACAUAUAAAUUAACAUUACAUUACAUAGUUUCCCACCUUUAGACGUAUCAGAUGAGUAUGAGAACUGUCACUGUGCCAGGAGAAUUUUAUAAAAUACUCCUGUCACAGAGAUCUAAAGGUGGGAAACUAUGUAAUGUUAUCGUCGGCUAAGAGUGUUAACCUGAUAACUCCAUUUUUCACUGCGAGUGAUAUUGGGGUAGUUUCUAGGUCCGUGUACCUUCAUACCAUGUCCCACAAGCCCGCUGGUUCCACUGUAGUUUAGAGAUAGCUAUUUCUAAACUACAUUGGUGUCGGCGGGUUUGUGGGGUGGUGUAUGAAAAUACACGGACCCAGAAACUAGCCCAAUAUCACUCAAAGUGAAAAAUGGAGUUAGCAGGUUAAAACUCUUAUCCAAGGUUAUGUUAAUUUAUUCGUUUAUAACGAUAAGUUCCACUUCUACCAGUUUCAUCUCUUUUUAUCUCACAAGUUGUUUUCCAUCUUUUGCGUUAUUUUGCCGGUUAUUAGUGUGAGUGCUCACUAUUUACGAUUCUGUGAUUUCUCAAUAUGAUGCUGAGUAGGUAUAGAUCUGAGUAGGUAUAUAGUAGGUAUCUACAACCCUUUCAAAACAGAAAAUAAGUUCAUUUUAUGUACCUAUUAAACUUUAUUUUAAGGAUGAAUUUGAAAUGCUUGUAGGGAAUAUAUCUGUAAAAAAUAAAAUUGGUAUUGUAAAAUUGAAAUUCUCAAAAUAUAAUUUAUAAUUCGAA